AUACGGAGGGUGCAAGCGUUGUUCGGAAUUACUGGGCGUAAAGCGCGCGUAGGCGGUCUGUUAUGUCAGAUGUGAAAGUCCUCGGCUCAACCGGGGAAGUGCAUUUGAAACUGGCAGACUUGAGUAUUGGAGGGGGUAGUGGAAUUCCCGGUGUAGAGGUGAAAUUCGUAGAUAUCGGGAGGAAUACCGGUGGCGAAGGCGACUACCUGGCCAAAUACUGACGCUGAGGUGCGAAAGCGUGGGGAGCAAACAGGAUUAGAUACCCUUGUAGUCC
rnacentral:rRNA from 1 species